rnacentral:rRNA from 1 species
CACGUAGGGCGCAAGCGUUGUCCGGAAUUAUUGGGCGUAAAGAGCUCGUAGGCGGUCUGUUGCGUCCGCUGUGAAAACUCGGGGCUUAACCCCGAGCCUGCAGUGGAUACGGGCGGACUAGAGGUAGGUAGGGGAGAAUGGAAUUCCCGGUGUAGCGGUGAAAUGCGCAGAUAUCAGGAGGAACACCGAUGGCGAAGGCAGGUCUCUGGGCCAUAACUGACGCUGAGAAGCGAAAGCAUGGGGAGCGAACAGG